rnacentral:rRNA from 1 species
CCCUACGGGGUGCAGCAGGCGAGAAAACUUUGCAAUGUGCGAAAGCACGACAAGGUUAAUCCGAGUGUUUCCUGCUAAAGGAAUCUUUUGUCAGUCCUAAAAACACCGAUGAAUAAGGGGUGGGCAAGUUCUGGUGUCAGCCGCCGCGGUAAAACCAGCACCUCAGGUGGUCAGGAGGAUUAUUGGGCCUAAAGCAUCCGUAGCCGGCUGUGUAAGUUUUCGGUUAAAUCCAUAUGCUCAACAUAUGGGCUGCCGGGAAUACUGCACAGCUAGGGAGUGGGAGAGGUAGACGGUACUCGGUAGGAAGGGGUAAAAUCCUUUGAUCUAUUGAUGACCACCUGUGGCGAAGGCGGUCUACCAGAACACGUUCGACGGUGAGGGAUGAAAGCUGGGGGAGCAAACCGGAUUAGAUACCCGGGUAGUCCCAGCUGUAAACGAUGCAGACUCGGUGAUGCCCUGGCUUGUGGCCAGUGCAGUGCCGCAGGGAAGCCGUUAAGUUUGCCGCCUGGGAAGUACGUACGCAAGUAUGAAACUUAAAGGAAUUGGCGGGGGAGCACCACAAGGGGUGAAGCCUGCGGUUCAAUUGGAGUCAACGCCAGAAAUCUUACCCGAAGAGACAGCAGAAUGAAGGUCAAGCUGGAGACUUUACCAGACAAGCUGAGAAGAGGUGCAUGGGCC